rnacentral:rRNA from 1 species
AUUUUGGACAAUGGGCGCAAGCCUGAUCCAGCCAUGCCGCGUGCAGGAUGAAGGCCUUCGGGUUGUAAACUGCUUUUGUACGGAACGAAAAGGUGCCUUCUAAUAAAGGGCGCUCAUGACGGUACCGUAAGAAUAAGCACCGGCUAACUACGUGCCAGCAGCCGCGGUAAUACGUAGGGUGCAAGCGUUAAUCGGAAUUACUGGGCGUAAAGCGUGCGCAGGCGGUUUUGUAAGACUGAGGUGAAAUCCCCGGGCUCAACCUGGGAACUGCCUUUGUGACUGCAAGGCUGGAGUGCGGCAGAGGGGGAUGGAAUUCCGCGUGUAGCAGUGAAAUGCGUAGAUAUGCGGAGGAACACCGAUGGCGAAGGCAAUCCCCUGGGCCUGCACUGACGCUCAUGCACGAAAGCGUGGGGAGCAAACAGG